AAUUGAUCAAUGUAUGUUCCAUCAAUCCUGCUUGAAUAUCCACUUUGUACCCAUCAUCGUCUGUGACAUCUCCAUGGCUGUACCGUCCUGUCAGAUAGCUUAUCAGACUGAUGUUGACUGUUGGAUCUCAUGGCAACAGCAGUCGAUGGG
ensembl:miRNA sha-mir-21 sha-mir-21